UAGUGAGUACUGUGACUUAAUUUAGAUGCAAGAUUUUGUCACUGCUGGAAUUCUGACAUAAUUGUUAGUAUUUUAGUAAAGGUUUUGUAGAAAAGAUCUGGAAUAGAAUGUUUGCAUACAUUUGUGAUGUUAUCCUUGCAAUAGAUGUAUCAGUAUGUAUUUUGUGGUUGUUGUGUAGUAACGUUGUAGCUGUUAUGCAGUCAGCAUUUUAGAUCAGUUUCUUCAUCGCUGUGUAUUUGCAAGUGCUGUUGAUCGUCUCGAUCCAGUUGUAAAGGCUGAUUAUGAAGUUGCUGUGAAAUAGAAGUCGCCAAUAAUGCGAGAGAACAUUGACAUGCUUGGUGAAGAAAAUGCAGGCAAGACGACAUUGGGAGAUGCUUUUCUAGAUCAGCCAUUUAUAGAGAAGAGGGAAAGUACGGCUCUUGCUGAGCAGGGACGGUUUAUGUUGGUUCGCUGCAGAUGGCUCAGAUGUUUUCUGUUGCCUCGUUGUUGAUUGAUCCUAUUAUCGCACAUUUCACGGAUUUCAAGUUCUGAUCUGUAAAGAGAGGCUGCCAUUGUCCAACAAGUUUACUGAAAGGUGUGGCCAUUUAGAUGGUGACAGCAAAGAGAUUUCUCCCGUUUUCCUCCAAUUUCUUGAAGUCAUGUGGCAGGUCCAGUGCCAAUUUCCAUGUACUUUCCAGUUUAAUGAGA